GACAUCAGAUGAUGCUCUGUUUAUUGCUUGGGGUACCAGUCAGUGUUUUGCAAACAUUCAGGAGGGUUACGACGCACCGGGACUCGAAGCUAGGCGAUUUUUAUUUUACCGUUCCCCUCAUUGGAAUGCAGACCGUGUACAGAUUGGCACAUUCAGCGUAGUUGAUUGCCCCUGAAUUAUACUAAACGGGAAGCAUGUGGCUGUCAAAGCUGCCUGAAAGUAUGCACAACGUGAGAAGUCAGAAGGUAUCAGAAAGCCGCAAAAAUAAGUAGAAGCAUCCGCACUGAUGAAACUACCCAUGCAGCAUCAAUCAUAGUAACCCAUGAGUCAGUAGACAACAUUUGACAGCUCUAUCAGUCGAACUCUAAACGUGAUGGCAAAACCAGUGAAGCAACUCCGUACAGAAGUAUUCACGUUCAAAGAACGUCGUUCACCGCGUCGAAAACGGACAUCGUGCGGCACUUUGUGGACACCGGAUAGGCCCAGUCUGGCAUUUACAACAUCUUGGCAAUCACUUGUCAUAAGACGAGUUUGUACAAUCCCAUUUAAUUCCAGCACUUAAGUGUACCUUGACAGAUGCGUAAUUCGACCUCAACAGUAAGGUCGUCUUCAGUGUCUCGUACUUGACUCGACUUCGUCGAGAAAAGCUCAAAAUAGUUUUCUUAACAUCUUGGCAAUAUUAGACAACAAUCUGAGCAUCGAAAGAAAGCCUGGUUCUAGACGGCCGAUGACCCUGAGCGACAAGAAGCUCUAAAAAAAGCUGAAAAUGAAGACCAAGGGAAGGUUGGCUACAUUGCGGCGUGCGCUUGGCCAGGAGGUUGGUGCAAAUUUAUCAAAAGCAAUUAUCUGUCUGUUUAUCACCAUCCGAAAAAAGUCCAUUUUUAAUGUAAACGUUAGAAACUUCUGAACCGUGAAAUUUUCCUCCAAAAUUCAUCAUUGAAAAUACAUCGCCGAAAAACGUCUUCAAAUAUUCAAACACAGCUUGUAUGAAUCAUCAAUGAUCAUAUUUUGUGUAUAUGGUAUAUCAGUAAACAUAAUCCUUAUAUGUCCGGCACUGCGGGAUUUCUCUCUACUAUUUUUUUUCUCUCUUUUCUUGAAGCUCUGGCACGACUCAUAACUCGAGCACGACGCUACGCCACACCAUUCAUGACGACAAAUACCCGGAUCAGCAGCUGAAAUAUCUCAAAACCUAACUUCCAAUCCCGUAUGUCCUGAAAUUACGCAAUGUAACAAAUGCAAAUUUUCUAGGGAAUUAUCAUUAGAUUUUUUAUUCCAACGGAAAUUCUUCGGAAUUUACAUGGGAGAUAAUUUCAAAUUUUACAGAAUUCACGUAGCAAGUUCUCGAUACACUAAAUGAAAAAUUCUUCAGAACAUACACUGGAAAUAUUUUCCUAUUUCUUUCGUAAAUAAAAUGCUUCACAUUACAACGGGAA